rnacentral:misc_RNA from 1 species
UACGGGAGGCAGCAGCGGGGAAUUUUGGACAAUGGGGGAAACCUGAUCCAGCCAUCCCCGCGUGUGCGAUGAAGGCCUUCGGGUGCUUAAAAAGCACUGGCAGGAAGAAACAGCUGCAGGAUAAUACCUGAUGCAACUGACAAUACCUGCAGGAAUAAGCACCUCAGCGCUAACACGUGCCAGCAGCCGCGGUAAUACGUAAGUGCAAGCGUUAAUCGGAAUUACUGGGCGUAAAGCGUGCGCAGGCGGUUCAGGAACAGAUGUGAAAUCCCGACUUAACUUUGGAACUGCAUUUUUAACUACCGAGCUGAAGAGUGUGUCAGAGGGAGAGUGGAAUUCCGUAGCAGUGAAAUGCGUAGAUAUGCGGAGGAACACCGUCCAGCGAAGGCAGCCUCCUGGGAUAACACUGACGCUCAUGCACGAAAGCGUGGGGAGCAAACAGGAUUAGAUACCCUCGUAGU